rnacentral:rRNA from 1 species
GUAGUCUCGCACAGAUGCAUAUCAAUAAGCGGAGGAAAAGAAACUAACAAGGAUUCCCCUAGUAACGGCGAGUGAAGCGGGAAGAGCUCAAAUUUGAAAUCUUAAAGGGUUUCCCUUUACGAAUUGUAGUUUAAAGAAGUGUUUUCUGUUGAGGUUUUGGUAAAAGUUCUUUGGGAAUAGGACAUCAUAGAGGGUGAGAAUCCCGUAUUUGACCUUUACUUUCAACUUUGUGAUACACUUUCUAAGAGUCGGAUUGUUUGGGAAUGCAGUCCAAAAUGGGUGGUAAAUUUCAUCUAAAGCUAAAUAUUGGCGAGAGACCGAUAGCGAACAAGUACCGUGAGGGAAAGAUGAAAAGAACUUUGAAAAGAGAGUUAAACAGUACGUGAAAUUGUCAAAAGGGAAGCGUUUGACACCAGUGUUGUUUUUCUGAAAAUCAAUUAAAGAACUGUUUAUGCUAAGCUGUUUAGACUUUAUCAGCUAUCUGUUAGUUUUGAGCUUUUCUUUAAUGCACUUUUCAGUUAACAAGUCAACAUCAAUUUCUUUUGCUGUAAAAAAGCUUGAGGAAGGUGGCUUGAGAUUCGUCUUAAGUGUUUAUAGCCUCUUGCCUAUGCAGUCGGAGAGAUUGAGGUCUGCAGCGUAGAUCCUUCGGGGCUAAAUGCAUUUGUGCUAAGUUAUAGCAUUUUAUAGACAACUUGUUGACUAUGAUUUGUCUUGUAGCUUACUCGCUUAUGUUAUUUUACCUACGCUUAGGAUGUUGACGCAUGAGAUAUACGC